rnacentral:ncRNA from 1 species
CCAACGGCGUGGAUGGGCAUCCAGUAGCCGGACGGCAGGCGUUCACAGAGACCCGGUGGCAGGUGCGAACCGGGACGCCCCGUCCGCGCGAAUUACAGCCCUGAGCCGGCCGGGGGAACCGCGGGCUGCCAGCCCGGCGCGUAGCCCGGUCCCGGAAGCAGCCUUCCGUUAUGUUCAACGAAGUGGGAAUCCAUUUGGCUUUGCCUGUCAUAGCAUGCGCAGGCGGAGCGGAUUCCAACAAGGGUGGUACCGCGAGCUAAUCCUUCUCGUCCCUUCG